UGGAUAAGCCAUGCAAGUCAAGCGGGUAUUUUAAUACCACCGGGCAACCGGGGUUAGUAACGCGUGGGUAGUUGCCUUGUACUCGGGGAUAAGCCAUUGAAAGGUGGUCUAAUACCCGAUAGUUCUCGAAAGAGUAAAGCUUCGGCGGUACAAGAGACGCCUGCGUCCUAUCAGCUUGUUGGUGGAGUAAUAGCCCACCAAGGCGAUGACGGGUAGGGGGUGUGAGAGCAUGAACCUCAACACUGGGACUGAGACACUGCCCAGACACCUACGGGUGGCUGCAGUCGAGAAUCUUCCACAAUGGACGAAAGUCUGAUGGAGCGACGCCGCGUGCAGGAUGAAGGCAUUCGUGUUGUAAACUGCUUUUAUAGGGGAAGAACUUUUGUGACUGUACCCUAUGAAUAAGGGGCCGCUAAUCACGUGCCAGCAGCGGCGGUAAUACGUGAGCCCCAAGCGUUGUCCGGAAUUACUGGGCGUAAAGCGUCCGUAGGCGGUUAUAUUAGUCGUGUGUUAAAUAUACGGGCUUAACCCGUAUGCCGCGCGCGAAACGGUAUAACUAGAGGUUGUGAGAGGCGAGUAGAACUCACGGUGUAGGGGUGGAAUCCGUUGAUAUCGUGGGGAAUACCAAAGGCGAAGGCAGCUCGCUGGCGCAAUCCUGACGCUCAGGGCCGAAAGCGUGGGUAGCGAAUGGGAUUAGAUACCCUGGUAGUC
rnacentral:rRNA from 1 species